rnacentral:rRNA from 1 species
AUGUUGAUUAGCUUAUUUGCCAUUGAUCCGGCGAAACAUGAAUUCAAAAUAUUUAGCAGGACCAUGGCUCAGCCGAACCUAUGCUUGACGUCGAUAUGUGCAUGCCAGUCCAUCCUGUUCAAGAAGGCUAAAGCUUCGAGACAAGGAACUAAACUGAGAAAUUUGAAUGUUAACCAGCCCCGAAUCCAAAGAGCAGUACUAGAUCGAACUGACCAUGGGUUCGGAUGGACCAUGGUCUUGAACCUCUCCUCUCAACAUGAAUUACUUCUAAUUAAUGUCUUAUGCUCUAUGAGUAGAUGUUAUAUUUUUUUAUUUGGGAAGGAAAAUAGUACUACCUCCGUCUUGGUGAAUUAG